UUGCUUUAGCAACACAUACACUAAAACUGGAAUGAUACAGAUAAGAUUAGCAUAAGUUCCUGUGUAAGGAUGACACGCAAAUAAAUGAAGCAUUCGUAUUUUUU
ensembl:snRNA U6 U6 spliceosomal RNA